UAUAUAUUUUAAAUCCAGUAAUGAGUGUUUAUUUUUGUUCAUCAGUGAAUGAAAACGGUUUUUAUCCUAAUAUGAAUUCAGCUUAUGAUCCUGAAUUUAUAUUGUUAAAGCAGUUAAUGAUAUUAUUUCAGAGUUAUAACUGACUUAGCAAAGUCACGUUAUUUAUUUAAGCGAGAUGAAAUUUGAUUUUAUUUUUACUCAGAUCGUGAAUUAUUUCCGACUCAGGAAGUUAAUUAAAUCUGCGGAUUUAAUUUAGAUAUCAGAACAACGAACGAAUUAAAUCUACGGAUUUAAUUUAGAUUCAUUUUAUAAUUUAUCGGUUUUAGUGAGAAAUCACAUGUCGAAAUACGAGAUUUAUUUAAAUAAACAGUAUCAAGCAUAUACGAGCACACGAUCCAUCUUACAGUUACAGAAUCACCGAGACAGAGAAAAUACAUCAAUAAUUCUCCUCUACAUUUUUUUUCCUUUCUUUUUCUUCUCUUUUUCUUUCCAUUAAUUUUGUUCCCCACUCCAUCAACUCCACUACCCUAUGCUCCCCACCAUCUCCACUACCUUUGCUCCCCAUCAACUCCAACACUUCACCCAUUCCUUCCAUUUCGCACCAGCAAUCACAAAGAGAAGGAAGACUUGGCUUAACUACUUUGCCAAGAUUUCAAGCUGCUCCAGUCCAGUAGUACCCCAACACUCGAAGCUAGAGUUUAUUGGGUGAAAAACCGUGCAUGAGGUCGAGCGCAAGAAUAAGAGCUCGUCAAGGAGUCACUAAUCUGUAGCAAAGCUUUGCUAUCAGGUGGGUUACUUUCAUAUAUAUCAAAUGAGUUUAAUGUUAUGUUUGAACAGUUAUUUCAUUGCAAAAUCUUUGAACUGAAAAUUAUUUCAAAUGUUGUCUUGCCAUAAAUGUUUCAAUGUUUGGUAUGAUAUCUAUCUGAUGUGGCUUUGCCAGUUAUUAUGCAAUCGAAUUCGGGUCCUGAGCAGUUGAUAGCUAUCCUGCCAGGGCUAGUGUACACCAGUGACCGUGAGUCAUCUAGCGGGUUGGCCGGUCAAGUGUCCGUGAGAGGUGGCCACCUCUCCGGCACACAGUUCCAGAUAUGAUAGAUUACAAGAGAACUUAGUCUGCAGACGAACUUUAAGAAUCACAAAUGAAUUUAGUAAGCUUGGGCCUUUUUAGCGAAAAACUCCCUUGCUGUACUGUUUAUGAUGGCAUGACAAUUUACAACUUUACGAAGCAUGUUAUAUUUCAUAGUAGGCAUAUGUGCCCACUGAGUACUUUUGUACUCAGCCCUGCAUAUAUUUCUAAAUGUGCUGGUUGAGCAGCUGCCGAUGGUGAUGAAGUGACGAGCGGGACUCUUUUGUCUUAUUAUGUAUUAAUGAACUCUAGGGUUACAUGUCUUCAUACAUGUAAUCAGAACCUUAUUCCGCUGCGUACUCAGAAGUUUUAUGUUAUUUUGGAUAAGUCGGAGUUAUCCGAACUUGUUAGUUAUUUGAGUCUAUACGACAAAAACUCUGUUAUAUUAUAGAUAUCCAUGUUGUUAACAAUGAUGAAAUACGAUCCUUUCUUGUUUGAUUA